rnacentral:miRNA from 1 species
UCUCGUGUCCUCCUGUGUCUACG